GCCAGCCCGCUCAGAAACUCAAAGGAAUUGACGGGGGCCCGCACAAGCGGUGGAGCAUGUGGUUUAAUUCGAUGAUACGCGAGGAACCUUACCUGGGCUCAAAUGUAUGUUGACGUAUUCUGAAAGGGAUACUUCUUCGGACAAUAUACAAGGUGCUGCAUGGUUGUCGUCAGCUCGUGCCGUGAGGUGUCGGGUUAAGUCCCAUAACGAGCGCAACCCCUAUCAUUAGUUGCCAUCAGGUCAAGCUGGGGACUCUAAAGGAACUGCCUACGCAAGUAGUGAGGAAGGCGGGGAUGACGUCAAGUCAUCAUGGCCCUUACGGCCUGGGCUACACACGUGCUACAAUGGUCGGUACAAAGGGUUGCCAAGCCGCGAGGUGGAGCUAAUCCCAUAAAACCGAUCGUAAUCCGGAUCGCAGUCUGCAACUCGACUGCGUGAAGUCGGAAUCGCUAGUAAUCGUGAAUCAGAAUGUCACGGUGAAUACGUUCCCGGGCCUU
rnacentral:rRNA from 1 species